rnacentral:rRNA from 1 species
GACGAACGCUGGCGGCGUGCUUAACACAUGCAAGUCGAACGGAAAGGCCCUGCUUUUGUGGGGUGCUCGAGUGGCGAACGGGUGAGUAACACGUGAGUAACCUGCCCUUGACUUUGGGGUAACUUCAGGAAACUGGGGCUAAUACCGGAUAGGAGCUCCUGCUGCAUGGUGGGGGUUGGAAAGUUUCGGCGGGCGGGGAUGGACGGGCGGCUUAUGAGCUUGUUGGUGGGGUAGUGGUUUACCCAGGCUUGGACGGGUAGCCGGCCUGAGAGGGUGACCGGCCACAUUGGGACUGAGAUACGGCCCAGACUGCUACGUGAGGCAGCAGGGGGGAAUAUUGCACAAUGGUACGAAGCCUGAUGCGGCGACGCCGCGGGCGGGAUGACGGCCUGCGGGUUGUAAACCGCUUUCGCCUGUGACGAAGCGUUAGUGACGGUAAUGGGUAAAGAAGCACCGGCUAACUACGUG